CUACACUACAGCUGGCUCAUAACCAUCUCUCCUCCCUGCCUGUCUGCCACUGCCAUAUCCAGUGUUUCCUAGGAAAUUAGCCGUAACCCAGAGGAAUUUGCUGCUGGAUUCUCUUGCACAGAGCCAGACUGCUAUCUCUUCUACACUGAGAGAGAGGGAGAUCCUGGAAUCCUGAAGAUACACAGGAUUACUCAGUCUCUAAAAGCUUCAGGAAAUCUUCAAAUCUUCACUUAAGGAAAGAUCUUUUCACUACUUUAGGAACUUUCACAAGUAUGGCAAGCUGCGGCUCCUGUUUCUGGGCCAUUAUCUGGCUGAUUGUGCUGUUGAUGCUGGGCUGGCCUCUCAGUAUCUUCCUGGGUGGGCUGUAUGGCCUCAUCGUGCCUCUCACGGCCUGCCUUGGGCUCGAUCGACUGUCAGACCUUCUGCUAGAAGGAGCCAACCUGGGCCGGACCUGCGCCCAGAACAUGAGACAUGGAAAGCCCCUGUGCUGAGAAUAAAGCCCACCUAUUUACCCUGGAGACGUACCUGUAAAGAGCUUUGUUUUGUUUAGUGCUGAACAAUAUUGUCAAAAUUGGUAUUACAGUUUAUUUCUUAAUUUCGAUUGAUCAUUUUUCCCAUAUGAUAUGAACAGUAUAAAAGCCACCACACUUGAUAGAACUGGGCUAUUUCUAAUAUGGUCUCUAUUGGCUAAUCUUUUGAUACAAAGUAUUUAUUGUGUUUUGACUUACAGACUAAAAUGCAACAGGAGUGUCAGAUUAUUUUAAAAUCAUAUUCAAACACUUUUUUAUGCAUAGUUUAGUGAUUUAUGUUUUUUUUUUUUGCUGCACAUGAUUCAAUUUAACAGGAUUUUUUCACACUUUCUGAAAUGAAUGUACAGGUGGGUCAGCAUUCUUUAAACAGAGAUAAUUCUUGAUAGGCAUAUUGUUUAUAUGAUAAGAGAAUUUAUGACAAUAUGAUAAAAUAGAUAUAUUGACCAGCUAUAGUUGUAUUUAACUGCAUAAAUUGUAAUUUUGUCUGGUAAUAACUUAACAGUGUUGUACAAAAUACAUAAACUGACAUGUCUGUAGCUUUUAUAUUUUUUUGUAUAAACUGGUGCUCAUUACUUUCAUUUGAACAACCAGCAGCAAUUCAUGGUUGCAAAAAUGUAAAUGCCUUUAAUGAAUUUUCUGGCCAGAAAGAAGCCAAAAAUACUACAUUUAAUAAAAGAAAUUCAGGUUUUGUGUGUCA